CUGAGCUCUGGACCCACGGCCGAGGCUUUGCAUAUUAAGAAACUCAAACUCAGGAUGGUUAAUUGACUUGCUUAAGGUUCCUGACAAGAAUUAUGGAAGCUUGAGGUUGAACUCAAACCUACUGAUGAAAGUGUCUCCCUGUGUUUCCCAGGCUGGACUGAAACUCCUGGGCUCAAACAGCCCUCCCACCUCAGCUUCCCGAAUUGGUGGGAUUACAGGCAUGAGCCACUGUGCCUAGCCCUGGACCAGACUUUAACUAGCAAGGUUCUAGAGUCUAAAGUGCUUUCCAGGCUGUUUCUCUUGGAGGUGGUGCAGGAGGUUGAGGAAAGCACCUCUGAUGAGCAGAUAGCUGGAGGCUGUUCCCACAGCCAUGUCUCAGCGAAGAAGUCAGAGUCCAGCAGCCAUCAGAACCAAGGGAUUCAAUUUGGUGUCAUCUUCGAAGAGAGAAGACAGAAGGAGCGAGAUUAGUGGAAUCAUUACAGCCUUUGUCACUCUGAGUCCAGAUGGGAUGAAAGUUCAGCCCAAACUUUCAUUUUAGAGGGGAACCCACCAAGCCCUACUCAAGCCCAGAGAUGUCUGCAUGGGAAGAAUAACAUCAUGAACCACCAGUGCCAAGAAGGAAUUCUCAGCAGGUUAACUGUACCAGCACCCAUUGAGGUUUGGUGAGGCCAAGGGCCAAGGCUUGCCAAGAGCUGUCAGUCUUUCCUUCUACAGAUGCCUCUGGGCUCUGAGCUGCUCCUCCUGCAGCAGGGAUGGCUGAACUGAGCCAGCCACACUCUCCUGUCAGGUCCUCUAUGCCCACUACUUUGGGGGAUGGAGGAUUAGGAAGGCUAUUGGAGGCUGAGAACUAAAGUUUCUUUUAGGGCUGGGUGUGGUGGCUCAUGCCUAUAAUCCCAGCAUUUUGAGAGGCUGAGGCAGGAGGAUUGCUUGAGCCCAGGAAUUUAAGGCUAUAGUGAGCUAUGAUGGCACCACUGCACUCCAGCCUGGGUGACAGAGCAAGACCCUGUCUCUUAAAAAAAAAAAAAGGUUCUUUUAGACCGUGCUAACUGAUUCUUUCAAAGAUUGAGCCUUUGGUAUGGGUUUAUGACCCCCGUUUCUGGAGCUAAUCCUGGAAUUAAUGUUACCCUUAGACUCCAGAGUGGGUCAUGGGGGGUGGGGGCGGGCAAGCACUUGCCAUGAGAGAUGAAAUUGUUUAAAUCCAUUCCAGCCCAAGAGCAAGGAGAAAAGCUCUGGGAGGCUGUGAAAGGCAAAGUGGGUGGAGGGGAGGGGAGCAGAGAACCAUGCAGAGACUGACUGCAGCUGUUGGUAGAGAGACCAUGUCAGCUGGCCCUGCCCUCUGGGUUUUUAGGGACCUAGGUUCAGCUGUCAGUUGCAGCUGAGGCUCCAGAGAGCUUGUAAGAAGUGACAAUGUGCAGGAGUGAGCCCAGGCCCAUGGGGCGCCUGGGGAUGGGAUGGUUUUCAGCCCGCACCAGCCGUGCUCCCCGGGGUGGAGUUUCUCUGUGCUCCUCUUUGCUGACACAACCCCUGCAGAUGCACACAGUCAGAGGCCUUGCCCUUCCCCCAGCCUGACCAACCUCCUAAUGUUGAGGAGGGCUCAACCCUCAUUAAACUCAUAGUCUCUGAAUUUGGGCAUAUGCUUUAAAUGGGGGUUGUGUUGAUGGGAGGGUUUGGCUGUCAUCUGACCCAUUUUGCAAUUCUCAUGGCUCAGCGCUUGUGAAAGCUGAGUCAUGUGGUGGCAGCCAGCCCCAGGAUCCCAGGGCUCAUCUGAGGCCAUCUCUCCAUUGCUCAGACCAUGGUUCUCAAAUUUGAAAGUAUACAAGAGGGACAACUUCAAAAAUCAGAUUCCUGGGAUCCUGGUCCCAGAGGAUCAUAUUCAGUGGGAUGGGGCCCAGGAAUCUGCAUUUUAUAAGCCCUCCAGGUAUAAGGAGAGCCUCACAGUCUGCAGACUACUCUGCAGUGCUCUGCUCCAGGAAGAACCAACCUGGGGUCUAUCCUACGUAUUCUUUCUGAGGCUCUGUGAGUCUCAUGCGAAGGAUGCUGAAUGCUUUGUAAAAAUGCUUCUUGCGGCCGGGCGCGGUGGCUCACGCCUGUAAUCCCAGCACUUUGGGAGGCCGAGGCAGGCGGAUCACGAGGUCAGGAGAUCGAGACCGUCCUGGCUAACAUGGUGAAACCCCACCUCUACUAAAAAAAAAAAAAAAAAAAAAAAAAAAAAUACAAAAAAUUAGCCAGGCGUGGUUGCAGGUGCCUGUAGUCCCAGCUACUCCAGAGACUUAGGCAGGAGAAUGGCCAGAACCCAGGAGGCGGAGCUUUCAGUGAACCCAGAUCACACCACUGCACUCCCGCCUGGGUGACACAGCGAGACUCCGCCUCAAAAAAAAAAAAAAAAAAAAAAAGCUUCUUGAUAGCCUGGGUGCAGUGGCUCACACCUGUAAUCCCAGCAUUUUGGGAGGCCAAGGAGGGCAGAUCACUUGAACCCAGGAGUUCAAGACCAGCUUGGCUAACAAAGUGAGACCCCAUCUCUACAAAAUAUUAGAAAAAUGGCUGGGUAUGGUGGUGUGCACCUGUGGUUUCAACUACAGGGGAGACUGAGGCAGGAGGAUUGUUUGAGCCAGGAGGUUGAGGCCACAGUGAGCUGUGAUUGCACCACUGCACCCCAGCCUGGAUGACAGAGCAAGACCAUCUCAAAACAAAACAAAACAAAAACUGUUCGAGGAGUUUAAGUAACAGUGUGUUUGUUCCCACAUCUUCCUGGAUCACAUGACCCCAGCCCAUUUUACAGGGUAAACAAUCUGAGGCCCCAAGAGAGUGAAUAAAAGCACAGCUGGUGGGAAGAACACCUGGGAGACCUGACGGGCACACCCCAUCCCCUCUGGGCCCAGAGCUGUGUCCUAUGUGCUAGGCAGGCUGCCUAUAAACACGAGAACUUCUACACUUGCAGCAGGAUAUUGGAAAGGAGCAAAGGAAUCCUGGAAUUAAUGUUACUCUUAGACUCCAGAGUGGGCAAUGGCGCGGAGGCAAAGGAAAUCACUGGGGCCGGGGCAGUGGCUCACGCCUUUGGGAAGGCCGAGACAGGUGGAUCACCUGAGGUCAAGAGUUUGAGACAAGCCUGGCCAACAUGGUGGAACCCAUCUCUACUAGAAAAAUACAAAAAAAUUAGCUGGGUGUGGUGAUGUGUGCCUGUAAUCCCAGCUACUCAGGAGGCUGAGGCAGGAGAAUCGCUUGAACCCGGGAGGUAAAGGUUGCAGUGAGCCCAGAUCACACCAUUGCACUCCAGCCCAGGCAACAAGAGCAAAACUCUCUCUCAAAAAAAAAAAAAAAAAAAAGGCACUGGAAAGGAGCAGCACGACAGCUGCACAGGAACUCAGAGACUAUAAUUUAGCAAUUUUCAAGAUUGCCUUAAUAGCUCUCGGAGUUCAUAGGACUUCCCACUCUCAUGAGAACUCUAGUCCCCAAGGAAAUCUUUUUCCUCCCCCUCCUCCUGUCAUUUAUUUAUCUUGGACAGGGAACAGAGCUUGAAUUCUGAGUCUAAUCUGUGAGGAAAUGAUUUCAGAACAAGGAGUGGAAGAGGAGAUGGAUUUAAGAACAUUAUCACUGAAACUGAAUCUCACCCAGAACUUUCUGAGCUUCUAAAAGCAAGCAAACACAGCUUUUUAGCUCUCCCGACUUUCCAUGGAUGCCUGUAGUCCACACCCCUGGUCUUCAGAAAAAUCCCUUACAGCCCAAGAAAGAUCUUGAGGUCAUGUUUUGGGGUCAUGGGUCUUUGGACCAGACUUUGUCUCUGAACUGGCAGUUCUCACACUUGUUUGCAGAUAAAGCAUGAUGUUAAAAUGCAGCUUCCUGGGUUCUCUCCCAGAGAUCCUGAUACAGAGGGUCUGGGAUGGGUCCCAGGAAUCUGUGUGUUUAACCGGAGCCCAAGGUCUAAUGCCCACAGUUGUGGAACACUCUGAGAAGCCCUGUUCCAGGAUGAACCCUCUCCUCCUGGGUGUGAGGAGGGAGCCUGAGCAGCUGGAAUCCCUAAAUGGUCUUCUAGAAGCCCCCAGGCCAUGUUCUUGUCCUAAGAGUCAGAGUGGCACUGACCAGAGAUACUCUCAUGUUGGCUGACUGUGGGCAGUGAGGCCAGGAGCGGGGCUGUGCCACCCUCUUCCCCACCUCCACGGUCGGCCAGUGGGAGUCAGCGGGUAACCCUGGGCACAAACCUCUGGAGGACAUGGCACCAGCUGCAGUUGAAGGUCAGGUCUGAGGACAUGCAGGCGUCACAGCUCCUAUGCUGUAGGCAGGCUGCAAGAGAGAAGGCAGUGGCCACUUAGCACUGAGCCUCUCCUUGGGCUCCAAAGGAUGCAACUCUGAAUUCCCGGUAUUUACAGAACUAUGGAGCCCCUGACUUUGAGGGGAUCUUUAAGGUCAUUAAUGCCACCUCCCUUGGUCCAGUCCAGCCCCAAUUCCUAACUUCUUUUUUUUUUUUUUUUUUUUUUAAAGGGAUGUGGUCUCGCUGUGUUGCCCAGGCUGGUGUGCAAUGACCUGAUCAUGGCUCACUAUAGCCUCGAACCCCUGGGCUCGACUGAUCCUCCUGCCUCAGCCUCCCCACCGUCUCUCCCUCCCUCCCUUCCUUUUUUCCUUCUUCUGUCCCUCCCUCCCUCGCUCCCUCCCUCGCUUCCUCCCUCCCUAGCUUCCUUCCUUCUCACUAGAAGGUCAGGCCCUAAACUGGGUGCUGGGGAUUCAGCAGUGAGACCUAGUCCCUGCCUUCUUAGGGCUUAGACUCAUAUGGGGAGACAGACACUUAACAGAUAAUGAACAAUCACUACAGAACUAGAGCUGUCAUGAGGUCUAUGAAGGCAAAUCACAAGGUGCUGUAAGUGCGUACAAAGUAAUCUCACUUAGUCAGAGACAUUAUACUUUCAGGUGUGUAUCCCAGAGUCAAAGGGUUGAAAGGGAUUUUUUAAAGGUCAGAGGAUACAAAGUAGCAGGUAUGUAGGAUGAACAAGGCUAGAAUCUACUGUAUAACAUGAGGACUGUAGGUAAUAAAAUUGUACUGUAUGUGAAGUUCAUGCUAAAUGAGUAGAUUUUAGCUGCUCUUUCCACAAGAACAAAAAAUCAAAGGUAACUCUGAGAUGAUGGAUAUGUUAAUUGCUUCAUCAUGGUAACCUUCUCACUGUCUAUAUGCAUCCCAUAGCAUCAAGCUGUAUACCUGAAAUAUGUACAAUAAAAGUUAUUAUUUUAAAAGAU